UUCACAAAAUCGUCGUGAAGCGCGUCUCAGCUUCCACCUUGCGUACGCACGCGCGAAUACACGCCGACACACGGGAGAGCGUUGUUCUCUUUCACUCUUUUUUGCACCGACCUCUGUGCACUUCCUACUUUCUUUAAACGUCGAACCCCCACCCCCUCCUCCAGCCAUCGACGCCCCACCCUCCGACCCCCGUGACGACUGUUUUUGUGAACACAUUGCUCAGCUGCUCACUUCCCGCAUUUCUUUCGCUCGUCCCUUCCUCUCAAUACUUUCGUGUUCGCCUCUAGCGUCUUUGCGUCUCUCCGCCGUCGCUAGUUCGCGCUCUCACUGUUUCGGCUGAUCGCUCCUUUCUCUCCCUCUCUUUCUCUUCCUCCAGCAAUGCUGCAGGAGGUGUGCACGUUGUUGUUCACUCCCUCGCGAGACAAGGGGGUACGCCGAUGGCAACAGGCCGCCAUCACGUUUUCCGGAUUAUGGGGCAUAAGCAUCUUUUUCAUGAUCUCCACCUCCUUUCUUAUCGCCUCCAUGCAGGCCCUCGUGCUGCUGAACACAGCCGCUUCGCUCACGGCGGCAGCCGUGACCCAGUCUCUGUGCAGCCGUGCCGGCACUCAGCAGAGCUACCCCUUCGGCUUUGGGCUGUAUCGUCUAAGCGUCGUCGUGCGUCUCGGCAGCACUAUCUUUCUGGUAUUCGGUUGUGUGACAACCAUGGUGGAGUCUCUGCACCGCGGCACUCACGGGCACCACUCGAACCCCUCUUUCCUUCUCGCCCUCGGUGGCCUGCAGCUCCUAUCACAGCUGGUCUUCCUCCGUGAUGUUUGCCUCACCGAUCGCGUGACGGGGCACCGCGGUAUGGCCGGCGCGCAUAGCGAGGAUCUUCUUCAUUUGCUCUGUGUUUCUGCGUGCAGGGACAGGCGUGGGAUGGGAGGUGGAGGUUUCUUUGAGGAGUUCCACAGUCCCUCGAGCGCAUUGGCUCAGUCCCAGCCGCCUGGUGGAUCGCCGGCGGUACACGGCCCCUCUUGUGGCGCACAACGCACUAUGCGCCGCAAUUGUACACAAACGGCCGUUUACCUGCUGUGCCCCAUCACGUGCGUCGUCGCCAGCCUGUUGAUGGUCGUGACAGACAGCAGCCUCCCCGACGUGGUCGGGGCGCUGUGGCUGGCCGUCUACUACGCCUACGUCGGAUAUCGGAAUGGACGCGACAUGCUCGACUUGCUGAUGAACAAGUGUGUGACCGACCCGAGGCGGUUGCGCAACUUGGAGCAAUGCCUGCGCAACAUCAAGAUGCUGGACGGUGUGCUGCAGGUACAGUCGACCGUGUGGUGGAACCUGAACGUCUUGGAGAGUAUGCUGCUGAUCCGUUUACGACUCAUGUCUGGCUCUGAUGCGUGCAGCGUGUCUCACGCAGUACGCAGGCAGCUGGCUGAGCUUGCGACGUAUGUUUAUGUGGAGUGCUUUCCAGCCAACGGUGCGAACGAUCUCGGGCACAGCACCCAGCUGUCGUGGGGUGCGCCGCUGAUGGGUGCACACGGACACAGCCACGGCGUGCACGGUCACAACCAUGGAGGUGUCCAAGGUCACGAACACGGACACAGUCAUAGCAAUGGGCGCGACGACGACAACGGCCACCACGACCACGGCUGCGACCAUUCGCAUAGCCACUUGUUUGCCAGCAAAGGCGAGGUCAACUUGCCAGCCAGGAUAUACUCCAACGAGUUUGGUAACAUCAACGGUGACCCGCCAACUGACUCUGUCGGCGCUGAUUUGCCCUACGGAGAGCAGGGGUUUCCUGGAGCAGUGUCUUCCACCGCCUACGCGGGUGGCGCACCGGCUGCAUUGGCGUUUCCGACACCGCCGGCAGCCACGAGCGGUGGAUGUGACUCGUCGACUAAGCGACACGGCCUCGCGAGCGGCGUUCCACCCAUCGGCAGACCCUCUUCGGUGCAGGCGUUGCCCAUGGCAUAUGAUGCGGCGAACAGACGCGCCACUUUGUCGACGCCGUCACCGUUUACAGGCGUUCCACAUGGAGCAUCUAGCUCGUGCGGUGGGGGCUGUACGAACGAAGGCAGUCGCUUCGCGCAGCACGCACCUGGCGACACAGCCGCUCAGGCUGCUGAUUCCCUCAGGCUCCCUGCAGCGCCGUCGUCUCGUCUGCCGGCUAUUCCGCCCCCGGCCUUCACGCCGUUCCGAGAUGGAGACGUGCAUAUCGGCAGUAACGUGAGGGGAGGCGCACCUCACAGCGCAACCUAUGACCACGUGUGAUGUGCCGCGUUGUGAGAGCAUGGUGACGCCGAUCUCGACUUUUCGUCAUCGUUGAUGUGCAAAAUGCGUCCAAAAACUUGCGCAGAUCGCUGCUGAUAGCGUGUGGAACGGCUUUCUCAUGAGUAUCGUUGAGGAACCGUGACAUGACGAUCUCUGUUACUCUGCUCCUCUGAUUGAUCGCGUGAAAGGGGAACUCUCGCGCUGCUUACGGACGCACUGUAAUCUGAAAGGGUACCUCACCGAUUGGGCACCCCGGCGGACGCCUGAUACGUGUGCCGCUCACAGGGUAUGGACUGCCGCCGGGACAGUGGCUGUAGCCUUGUGCCGAGGAAUGAGAGGAGAAGUAUGACGUUCUCUUUUCCUCUCGUCCAUCGAAGGCUUGUGUACUUGCACAUAUGCGAGUCCCUGGUGACGCGGGCACACACCCGUCAGUGCUUGAAAUCUUCAGGCUUCCCUAUUUAUACUCUGUAAGGAAGCCAAAGCAGCCCCCCGCCCCCUAGCCCUGCCAAAUGCCGGGCCACCUCUGGUGGUGACAGGGCCUAGUGCCUACGACGUAGGGGAAGGCCCGAGCGAUGCAUCACUGCUGAUGUCGGCGGUGAGGGGCUGGAUGGCGCUGCGUCGGACCGACCUGCGACCGUGCACACGCUUGCGCCAUCCACGUGAUGGGCAGAGCGUCCGCGUGACUCGAGCGUGUACCGCACCCCCGGCCCUCGCACUGCCCAGUGGUGUGGGGCGGCGGAGCGCCACCGCGAGUGUGUGUGUGUGCAGCACGUAGGGACCGACAUGAUGUGGGAGCGGCUGUGAGGCGGCCUGCGAGGCAGGAUGGGCGGGCGGGCAGAGCUUGAGGGCAGUGGGGCCGUUCUCCGAUGACUGAGUGGGCACACUGCCGCAACGCCUGGCGAAAGCGAUGGUUGACAGCACGCGCUGAGGGACUGUGCCUGGACUGGGACUAUGGAGUUCAGCUCGUGUUGUACAGCAGAGAAUGAACAUAUCGCGGUAGGAAAGUAGCCGUUACGCUAUGAAGUGACUUGCACAUCGAGAGAGGCACGUAGACACCGUGUACUAUGAAAAGCGGAUUGUUAGCGUGCACAAACGCAUGCAUGGCGCUUGUCCAAAACCUAUUUAGGCCGGCUCACAUCCACGUGAGGGCGUCGCUCUUUCUCCUCGCGUCACCGCUGGUAAGGUUAUGUGUGUUUGGUUGUUUUGUUCUUAUUCUUUUUCUCUUCUUUUGGGCUGUGGUGCCGAUGUUCCCUUCGUUUUACAAUACUUGCCCCCCCCCCCCACCGUAUCGCCCGGGCUCGUGCGACUCACUAAAUGCAUACUGAAAGGUG
rnacentral:misc_RNA from 1 species